GAACCCUUGGCGCAGCGGUAGCGCGUGAGAUUCCAGCUUCUGGUGGAUCCUCAAGGUCAUCCGUUCAAAUCGGGUAGGGUUCA
rnacentral:tRNA from 1 species